UACGUAGGGUGCAAGCGUUGUCCGGAAUUAUUGGGCGUAAAGAGCUCGUAGGCGGUUUGUCGCGUCUGCUGUGAAAACUCGGGGCUUAACUCCGGGCCUGCAAUGGGUACGGGCAGACUAGAGUGCGGUAGGGGAGACUGGAAUUCCAGGUGUAGCGGUGAAAUGCGUAGAUAUCUGGAGGAACACCGGUGGCGAAGGCGGUAUCCUGGACCAAUUCUGACGCUGAGUGAGCGAAAGCCAGGGGAGCAAACGGG
rnacentral:rRNA from 1 species